UGCAUGUUCCGAGGCUCCAGCCUGUGUUUGGACAGCAGAACCAUCUCGCUGUUCCAUUAUUUCAUCUUUUAUCUCCUGGAGGAUCUUGGAUCCGCUCUUUGUUGCGGUAUCAUGAGCUUACUCCUUUCAGGUUGGAUUUAACGGAGAACGGCUCAGCAAACACACGCAAUUCUGCAGACGAAUCGUCGUUUUAUUUUAAUUUUAUUAAACAUAAACAAUUUUAUGCGACAUUGGUUUGCCGUUGGUUAUUUGAGAUGUAGGCUAACGCCCCACGUUCAAUAAAGAUUUGCUCCCUGCGUUUUAUUUCAUCAGUCGUUUUGAAGCUCAAGAAAACUCUGAACGGAUCUUCGUUUCAGAUUUGCGGGCAUUUGAACCUCAUCUCGAGCAGACCUACACUACAUCUGAACCUCCUGAAGAACGGUUCACUAGGCCUAUACUCCAUCUGAACCUCCUGAAGAACGGUUCAGUGGGCUGUAGGCCUACACUCCUGGUUUCCGAGUAGGCCGUAGUCCUAUGCCACAACAUUCCUGAAAAAGACUCACAACUAAAUAUGGCCAACCAUGCUGUGGUGAGCGGAGAAGAACGUAACGAGAAAAACUGAACCAUGCUAUUGUGAGCAGAGAAGAACGUGACGAGAAGAACGCAACCCUGUUGCGGUGCAGAGAAGAACGUAACAGACGAGAGCGCUGUCCUCUGUGGAGCAUUAGGCUCACAGAGACGGCCUGUACGCCACGAUGCUCUGGUGGUGAUCAGAAAUCACUGGUCAACACACCACACUAGUGAUCCAUCCCGUCAUAAAGGCUCCUGUCGCUCCUCGAUCACGUCCUGGUUCUGAGCAGGCGAACAGCGACACCCAGCGGCGGAAUGGGCGACCAGCAGGUGAUCAGCGAUCAGCGGCGGAACGGGCGGCCAGCAGGCGAACAACGACACCCAGCGGCGGGACGGGAGACCAGCAGCGGCAGUAGAGUUCGGACCGUCUGACAAGAAUGAACACUUCCUACAAGUGAGGAAAUCUUCACGAGUUUAAUUAGGCCUACUAGUUGUUUGGAAAAUAUAACUAGCUCGCAGAUUGCUGAUGGGUUAUACAACUAGUGUUUGAAAAUCACAAAUGGAAUAUGCAUAAUCCUAAUAGCCGUGAGAAAGUGUUUAUUCAAAAUCAUUAGAGGUCAUAAGUUCGCUACUUUGGUUCCUGCCCAGGAAGUCAGCGUUUACAAUAUGGCUACCAUGUCACUAACAACAUGUCACUCAAUGUCUGCUCCUUCAGCCACAGAUGUUCGGCCAAACGUUGUUGUCUCGAACCCGUCUGUUAAACAGCUCUCAAUAUAUAUUUAUUUUUAAAUCCCAGUUAUGUGUAGGUGUCUGUGUGACUGCGUGUGUGUGUGUGUGUGUGUGUGUGUGUGUGUGUGUGUGUGUGUGUGUGUGUGUGUGUGUGUGUGUGUGUGUGUGUGUGUGUGUGUGCGUGUGUGUGUCUGUUUCUGUGUGUAUGUGUGUGUGUGUGUGUGUGUGUGUUUGCAACCUUCUUCAACACAUGCAUGCUGCACUAGAUCAGAGACAAUCACACAGUUGAUAACAGAGG